AGCGUAGACGGUGUGGCAAGUCUGAUGUGAAAGGCAUGGGCUCAACCUGUGGACUGCAUUGGAAACUGUCAUACUUGAGUGCCGGAGGGGUAAGCGGAAUUCCUAGUGUAGCGGUGAAAUGCGUAGAUAUUAGGAGGAACACCAGUGGCGAAGGCGGCUUACUGGACGGUAACUGACGUUGAGGCUCGAAAGCGUGGGGGAGCAAACA
rnacentral:rRNA from 1 species